rnacentral:sRNA from 1 species
ACACUACUGUCUUCAUCAUUGUAUCGUUUGA